GAGAGGCUGACUCCCACCGUUCACAUCGGGAGCUUGAGAGGGAGGCAGAAGCUGUCACAGCGCACAGAGUCUGCAACUUGUUCACAUGUAACCGCCAGCGGAGGGAAAAAUAAUAAUAAUAAUUACACGGACUUACAAAUGCCAUUAAUCCCGUGACCGGUGACCGGAAUGGAAACGUACGUGCCGGCAAUGAGAAGUUGUUUGAUCCGGGUGGUCGUGUGAGCGCUGCCGGCUCCGAGAAGAAACUCAUGGGAGGUGCCAGUGGAUGAGGUGGGCUGGUCUCCUCAACCCAUCAUGGACGUCAACUGUCAGCCCCAGCUCAAAACCUCCUGUCUGGCUGGUUCCUGCUCCAUAACGCCUCCCUGUGUCUGAGCUGUGACACCUGGGACUCGCAGGCUGCUGACACCAUGACACAAAUGGACUACAAAUACAGCCUGCUGGGCUCAGCAGUGGACGACUACCGCAAGAGGCCUUUGCUCCUGCAGGUGGACGACACGCCCAUGAACCUGUUUGCAGUCCUGGAGGUGAAACGGGAACUACCGAGGCGCUGGAGCACCUUGGGCUGUUUCCGUAAGAUCCGUCUCUACAGCUUCUUGUUCGGCCUGGCCGUCAUGUUCCUCAUCAUGGCUUCGUACAUUCUGACAGGAGACAAGAAGGGCCUCCUCCUCACCCCUUCCCCUUACCACUUCAGCAGCCUGGUCAGCCCAGGACCUUUUUCCUUCAACCUCUCCUCAGUCAAGGACUAUGCACAUAUCAAACUGGUGGUCAAGUCCAUCACAUCCAAGGUGGAGUUUCGCAGCAGUCGACAGAUCCCAGAGCUUAAGGCGCUGGUUAACAGUGAGCCACAUAUGUUUUCUGUUAUCCCCCGCAAAUUCCUGCCUGGUGUCAAGAACCCCUGCUGGUAUGAGGAAUACACUGGGAAUAUCACUUCGGACCCGUACAGGACAAACUUGUAUGCGCGCUAUUCGCGCCGUUUCCGGACCGUGUUUCAGCACCUGAGGAACACUUUCCGAGAGCACUUGUUUCACCACGAUGGGAAACUCCACCGCAUGCGGUGCCUUCCAUAUUUCUAUAUCAUUGGCCAACCAAAGUGUGGAACAACAGACCUGUAUGACAGACUGAGGCUGCACCCAGAUGUCAAGUUCACCACUUUCAAAGAGCCACACUGGUGGACCCGCAAGAGGUUUGGUAUCAUUCGUCUCAGUGAGGGCUUCCAUGAUCGAUACCCAGUGGAAGACUACCUGGACUUGUUCGAUCAGGCUACUUACCAAAUCCAGGGCAACCUCACAGCAAAUGCCAGUAGAAGCCCCAGCCAUCCUAACAUCAUCAUAGGAGAAGCCAGCGCGUCCACCAUGUGGGAUAACAACGCCUGGGUGUAUUUCUACGACAACACCACAGAGGGAGAGCCUCCCUUCCUUAUCCAGGACUUUGUUCACGCCCUGCAGCCUAAUGCCCGCUUCAUCAUUAUGCUCAGGGACCCAGUGGAAAGGCUAUACUCUGACUACCUUUACUUUGGUAUUGCCAAUAAGUCUGCAGAGGAUUUCCACGAGAAGGUGUCAGAGUCACUGCAGUUAUUUGAGGGGUGCCUUACAGAGUACACAAUGCGCUCCUGUGUGUACAACACUACUGUCAACAAUGCCAUGCCAGUCAGAUUGCAAGUUGGCCUGUACAUUGUGUACUUAAAAGACUGGCUGACCGUCUUCAGCAGGGAACAGAUUCUGGUCCUGAGGUUGGAAGACCAUGCCUCUAAUAGAAAAUACACAAUGCACAAAGUCUUUGAGUUCCUUACCCUGGGGCCACUAACAAAGGAAAUAGAGUCAGAGAUCACAAGAAGCCCAGCAUCAAACACCAGGAGGCCAGCUGACAAGAACCUCGGACCCAUGCUGCCCAUUACUAAAGAGAUCCUGCGGGAUUUUUACAUGCCAUUCAACAAGAAAUUGGCCAAAGUGCUGCAGAAUGACUCCUUCCUCUGGGAGAAUAACUCUAAACUCUGAGCAAACCAUCUCUCCCUUUUAAUUUAGUAAAAAAGAAAAAAAGAUAAAAAAAAAAACACCACUGAUGUAUCAGCCAGCCCCUCAUUUGAAAAAAUCAAUGUUUUUUAUUUAAAUUAUUUUUUAAGUUAUAAAACCAGAGAUGAAUCAAAGAUUGAAAAUAGCACAAGAGUGUGGGGAUUUUGAGUGUGUGUGUGUGUGUGUGUGUGUGAGUGUGAGAGAGAGAGAGAGAGAGAGAGAGAGAGAGAGAGAGAGAGAGAAAGAAAAAGAGAGGCACAAGAGAGAAUGAGAUGUUGGCAGGCCUUGAUUGUUUUUCUUUUUUUUGUGACCAGGUGUACAGAAUUAGUCAAUUAAAAAAUAUAAGAAAAAAGAGUUAUGUGUUGUAUUUUGAAGCUUGUUUUGAUCAAUUAAAAGAUAGUCCGCCUCACAGAGAACUGAAAAGAUGGGACCUUGUUCUUUUUAUCCAACAAACCAUAUAUGCAAGACUUACAUUGUGCCUUGAUCGUAAUUCAGACACACUGAAAGUUUCUUAUAGUGAGAAUGAGCUGAAUGGCAAAGUCUGUGUUCAGAGCUCAAAUGGUCAGUGAAACACCACCACCCUCUACUGGGAAAUACAUGUAGUUACAACUGUAAAAUUGCCUCAGUUGCUGCUGAUGUCAAUAGUAACAUAUCAAAUGCCAAAAUUA